rnacentral:lncRNA from 1 species
UCCCCGCAGAUCAUACGGAGAACUUCGGUGCACCCAGUAUUGCUCCAUCGACUCCACACCCUGCCGAUACUUCACGUGAGAGGCUGCAGGGACAGGUGGGCUGUGGCCCAUGGACCCGUUGGCUGUUUCUCUACCCUUCACAUCAAGCUGGCCUUGCCCUCUCCUGGGACAGUGCCCUUUGACCUUCAUGUGACAAAACAAGGAUAUAUUCUUGCUGCUACGACAUGCUUUUGACUCCGUAUGACUGGAAGUUUUGGACCACUGAAUCCUGUCUUAAUUCUAAGAACCAGAAUCCUUCUAUACGCCCACCCUGGAAACUUCCCCAUCCCCUCCAAUCUGGCUAAACAGCUGGCUGUAAUGCCUGAUCUCUUCUGGAAAGAUGCUGGCUCAAGCCGUGGAUUUGGCUUAGCACUGUUAAGCAUACAGGCAUCUACAGGCCUGGCGUGGUUCGUUCUGGUCUCAUCCAGGUUUAGGGGUGCUCGUGAACAGGCUUCUGCACCUCCAAGCACAUCUGUUCCGACCCAAGGCAGCCAGCUGCUGGGUCUCUCAAGAUUUAAGAACCACAUCAUAGGAGGUGAGAAAUUCUCUUGGUGCAGCUCCCAGCUUCAGACCUGCUGAGGGGGACCCUUCAGCUGGCUGGAGCCUGGAUCAACUUCAUGUUGAUCAGUCAGGGGUACGAGAGAGCCACAAGGCCCAAGCUUGGUCCCAGGAAGAGGGUGAAGGCUCAGCUGAGUCACUGCCAUGUGACCCCUACCAGAACAGAAACCUUCUUCCUCCCGAAGUUCUCUGAGGGCACCAUCUGACCUUGUGCUUCUCUCUGCACCUUGACCUCUGUCUUGACAGUGCCCUCUGCAACCGUGUCCUGUGUGAAAGUCUCACCCCUCAUGCCCAGCCCGUGCUGCUGUUUCCUCAUGCUGGCUUCCCUGGCUUGGGCUCCACUGCCAAGUCCUUGGCUGCAGGACGCGCCGGUGACUCUCUUCCAUGCCCAUCUUGCAUACCCCUUGUUCCCUCACUGUGUGCCCAACCUCUUCCUUUAUCCUGGGAUUCUUUUUCCUAAGCCCUGCAUUUCUGAGAACUGCCUUUCCCAUAUUUCAUGAAUGGGGUUUGGCUCUAUUUGGGGAAAACAUCGCUUUUUGUCCCCCUCCCCAAUGCGCGCACCUGCCUUGCCCCACUACCCAGGCUGCCUCUGGGCUGUGCAAAGCUCUUCAGUGAGCCCAAGCCUUGGGAAUUCAGCAGGUGGCACCUUCUCACCCAGCUAGUCCGAGCUGUGAAUGGUAUUUCCUGAGAGAAAUCAGCCUGAGGCUGUCUUCAUGGGCAGACAGCUAUGCUAUUUACUAUUCUGGGACUUCUGGGGUGGCAAACAAGAAAUAAAGGUGAUUCUUGGCUGUGGCUCAGUC